AAUAAAUUUGUAAUUUAAUAAAUAAAUAAAAUUAAAAUACGGAACUUCAGGCCACGAGGCAGCCUCUCAAAUUGCCCGUCGCCUUCCCACGUUAAGUCGCAAUCGUAAGCGUGUCCAAGUCAACGAGCCGCCAACUCAGUCAAAUUCGCGUUUUUGACUCGUCCAAAUUCGCGUCCUGUUUCCUGGAAAAAUCCCCAAUUUUGUUAGUAUAAAACCCUAAUUUUCAAUCUGAAAAUCCAAAUCAACUCCAAUUUGAGGUUCUCUGUUAUUUCCGAUCUUCUUCUUAUUCGAGAGAAGAUAAAUUUUGUUAACAUUUUUCAGAGAUUCUUCGCUUCCACUCGAGAAUGAUGAGUCCGAUGAAGCUAACCGCCGUUCCGAUCGUCGGUUUCGUGUUCUUGCUUCUUCUGAAAUUGGCUUACAGUCACUCCCACGAUAUUUCCCCGGCGGCGGGUCCUUCGAGCGACGGCGCUGCAAUUGACCAAGGAAUUGCUUACGUUCUUCUUAUGGUUGCUCUCGCGGUUACCUACAUUUUCCAUUGAUAAUUCUUACGGCGUUUGGAUAUGUAAAUUUUAGUUUCUUUUGUAGUUUUUUCUCCGUUUAUUGGUGAAGAAAUUGCUAUUACAAUAUUUAAAAUUCAUUAUUCUUUAUUUACUUAUAAAUAUAAUUUGCUUUGUUAA